AUCGCUUCUCGUCCUUUUGGCUAAGAUCAAGUGUAUAAUUUUUUAUCAAAUUUCUAAUUAUCAACCCUCU